rnacentral:lncRNA from 1 species
GAUUGAGAAUCAAUCAACAUAUCAAUUCAAAGAAUGAUUUUUUUACUUAAAAUCGGGCUAGAUAUUUUUAACAAACAACCAAAACAAAAGAACCGAACCAUAUUGUCAGCUUGGCCCAUACCAAAAAACAAAACAAAAGAAAAACUUAAAAAUAGAAAAAGAAACUUUGAAAACAACGAAAAUAAAAAGUUAUCCAGCCUGUCAUUGAAAGCUUGUCAUAACUCCUUCCAUCUAGAAAGCUCCAUUUCUAAUUUGAUGAUUCCCAUUCCAGCAGAGUACAGUCCUCUUCCCCUUGAUUCUUGCAUCUACACUCUCUCCGUUGAAAAGUCCUUACCCCAACUCAGUCUGGCUCCUGCUCCCUGUUGAAUCUCCUAUCCAUUCGACAUUUCAGCAAAGAAUGAAAUUGCCCCUUCCAUGUACAUUUCCAUUCCUCUUUUUAAACUUUCUAUUGCAAUACUAUGUUCCAAUCUGUUGGUUGUUCUAUAUAGAUAUUUAAAUCACACUUCGUUGAACUCUGCCUUGUUGCGUUGAAUAUCUCUAAUUAUGUUCCCUAUUUUUGAUCUAUCUCUGUUGAGUUGUAUUUCUUAAUGACUGCUAAUGAGUCACCUUCAAUCUCCACUAUAUUUACCCAAAAUCUCCUUCCCAACGCCGCUGCUUGAGAGUAUGCCCAAAGAUCUCCAUCUUCUUACAGUAUGUUUUAUAAUAAAUAAAACUUGGUGGGCCAUAAAAGGUUGAAAGGAUAUUUUAUAAUUUACCUUAGCAAAACGUUGAAUUAUGUAUGCUAUUUGUUGACAUGCACGGUGUUUGAAAUGCAUAGUUAUAGCCCGAUGACCCAUUUGAUAAAAGGUUGUAAUUUUUAUAAAUACGCCUGCGUGUCGUGCCUUACUACUAUUCUAUUGUAUUUCUCUUCUCAUCUUACUCCCUCGUAAGUAAAACGAGUUUCUACAUAUUGUAAUUUGCAAGAGUUGCUGUGGGCUACACGAAAUAGAAGAUGGGCCAACUAGUGUGGACCGAUAGCUUGUGAAACGACUUACACCUUUAGGUUUCCUUUUGGUUCUCCUAUUGGCUUGGAUUGAACCACCUUAGUUUAUGGACUAUAAUUAUUGCAUUUAUUUAUUGCUUUAUUUAUUCAUGUAUGAGAUGCUAUGGAUGUCUAAAGCAUGCCAAUUUUAAAAUUUGAUAACAAUAAAUCCCAUUAAUUGAUGAGAUCAAUUAAAAGACUAAAAGGACUUAAGUAGACCAUAAUUGGUGAGAUGCAAUAACCUUAAUAAAAUCCCUCUAUUAAAAUAUAAAGUCAACAUAGCCUUCCAAUUUUGCCCUCGUUAAGGCCUCGAUCAAUACUGUGUAGGUUCUGCUAAAGCGAAGUACUAGUAUUUAUCUUGGUUAAACGCGAAGAAUAAACAAGUGAUAUUCGCUGGUUAAAAUUUGGUUAAUGACUUAACUAGGUUACUCUAAUAGGAUUAGAAACCUAGAGGCAAGUAAUUUAGAUAAAUCAUAAGAUGAUUAGAAUAAGAGUUGUUCACCAAAUAUUAGGAGUUACAUAUGAUGUAAUUAGCAAGUGUUGCUUACUUAAAUAACAUAAUCUUGAGAGUAAAGACAAAGCUGACUUAAGAGGAGGUGAAAUAUGGAUCCUUAACCCACUAGAAAUACUUUCGAGAAAGUCUUUUCAAAAUUAAUAUAUAAGGGUUAUUAAUUUUGAAAUAAAAUAGUGGGAACAUCAUUUAAUAAAGUCUUAUUAAUGAUUGAUAUAAACUUGGUAAAUUUACUCACACACAUAUUUUAUUGUUGUAGAUAUAUUAUGGCUGCAAACACUAAUACACUCUCAUUGCGAUCGGUCCUUCAGAAGGACAAAUUGAAUGGUUUGAACUUUCUUAACUGGUUUUGUAACUUGAGGAUUGUCCUCAAACAAGAACGGAAAUUAUAUAUCGUUGAACAACCACUUCCUAAUAAACCACUCGCUAAUGCCUCGAAGUCUGAUAAAGAUGCUUACAAGAAGCAUCUCGAUGACAUGGUAGACGUUGGAUGUCUUAUACUUGCCACUAUGAAUCCUGAGCUUCAGAAGCAACAUGAGGACAUGGUUGCUUAUGAUAUGAUCGAGCACGUGAAAGAACUUUAUUAGGGGCAAGCAGGACAAGAGAGGUUCGAUACCUCUAAGGCCCUAUUCCAAUGUAAGCUGCCUGAAGGAAGCCCAGUAGGACCUCAUGUCCUUAAGAUGAUUGGCUAUAUUGAAAGCCUGUCUAAGCUUGGGUUUCCAUUGAGCCAAGAGUUGGCCACUGAUGUUAUUCUGCAAUCGUUGCCGGAUAGCUACGGCCAGUUUGUUCUCAAUUUCAAUAUGAAUGAAAUUGACAAGACUCUGCCACAGUUGCUCAAUAUGUUACGAACUACUGAAGGCAACAUGAAAAAGAUUGGACCCAAGCCUAUACUGAUGGUCCGUAACAACAAGGGCAAGGGAAAGGCCAAAGUUCAGACAAAGCCCAAGGGCAAAGGUAGGCCCAAGCCUAGAAAAGGAAAGACUGCACUGAAACCUAAAGUUGGGGUGUCUAAGGAAGGAAACUGCUUUCAUUGUGGUGUGACUGGACAUUGGAAGCGGAACUACCCUAUCUAUCUUAAGGAAGUCAAGAAGGCCAAAACAAGCGGAACGUCUGCUUCAAGUAUUUAUGUUAUUGAUAUUAAUUUAUCAACUACUACUUCUUGGGUAUUAGAUACUGGUUGUGGUUCUCAUAUUUGUACUUCUGUACAGGGACUACAAAGGAGUAGGACUUUGGCUAGAGGAGAUUUAGACCUACGAGUUGGAAAUGGAGCAAAAGUUAUUGCAUUAGCUGUGGGAACAUAUACUUUAUGUUUGCCUAGUAGACUUGAUUUAUGUUUAGAGGAUUGUUAUUUUGUGCCUAGUUUGACUAAAAACAUUAUUUCAAUUUCUUAUUUAGACAAAAUUGGUUUUGAGAUAAUUAUUAAGAAUAAUUAUUGUUCCUUUUAUCUUAAUAAUGUUUUCUAUGGUUCGACACAAUUGAUUAAUGGCCUCUAUAUUUUAGAUCAAAUGAACCCUAUUUACAACAUAAAUACUAAAAGAUCUAAAAUAAAUGACUCAAAUCAAACUUAUCUAUGGCAUUGUCGUUUGGGCCACAUAAGUGAGAAACACAUAUCCAAACUCCAUAAAGAUGGUCUCUUACAUUCAUUUGUUUUUGAAAAAUUUAAAAUAUGUGAAUCUUGCUUAUCAGGAAAAAUGACUAAAUCUCCUUUUACUGGUAAAAGUGAACGAGCUAGUGAUUUAUGGGGCCUAAUACAUUCUGAUGUAUGUGGACCAAUAAAUACACAGGCUAGAGGUGGAUUUCACUACUUUAUUACUUUCACUUAUGGUUUCAGUAGAUAUGGGUAUGUUUAUCUCAUGCGCCAUAAGUCUGAGUCCCUUGAAAAGUUCAAGGAAUUCAAAAAUGAAGUACAAAAUCAACUAGGCAAAACUAUCAAGACACUUCGAUCUGAUCGAUGUGGAGAGUAUUUGAGCCUAGAGUUUGAUGAUCUUUUGAAGGAAUGUGGGAUUGUCUCACAACUUACUCCUCCUGGUACUCCUCAAUGGAAUGGAGUUUCUAAGAGAAUAAAUCGAACCCUGUUAGACAUGGUUCGAUCCAUGAUGAGUCAUGCUGAUCUACUGACUUUCUUUUGGGGACAUUCACUUGAGAUAGCUACUUUCACACUAAAUCAUGUACCAUCUAAAUCGGUUCAAAAGACGCAAUAUAAGAUGUGGACUGAAAAAUGUCCUAGUAUGUCUCUUAUGAAAAUUUAGGGUUACAAAGCUUAUGUUAAACAUCAGACGUCUACUAAGCUUGAACCUAAAUUUGAAAGGUGUAUUUUUGUGGGGUAUCCGAAAUAAACCAAAAGAUAUUAUUUCUUUAAUCCCACUGAGAACAAAAUAUUUGUUGCUCAAACUGGUGUCUUCCUAGAGAGAGAAUUUAUUUUUAGAAAAUGAAGUGGGAGAAAGAUUGAACUUGAAGAAAUUCGAGAAUCACAAGAUACCACUGAACCAGAGAUAAAACAACAGCAAAUACCACAAGAAAUUGAAGAACAAGUAACUGCUGUAGAAACACAACCACCACUCAGAUCUUUAAGAGAAUGCCAUGCACCUGAGAGAUAUGGAUUUCUCAUUACAACGCAUGGUGACGUUCUUCUUAUAGAUCAAGAUGAGCCUAGGACUUAUCAAGAAGUAGUGACGAGCCCAGACUCUGAGAAAUGGCUAGAGGCCAUGAGAUCUGAGAUGGGUUCCUUGUAUGAAAACCAAGUAUGGACUUUGAUUGACCCACCUGAAGGGGUUAAACCUAUAGGGUGCAAAUGGGUUUUCACAAAGAAAACUAACAUGGAUGGUAAUGUACAAACAUACAAGGGGCGAUUAGUCUCUAAAGGUUUUCGCCAAAUUUAUGGUGUUGACUAUGAUGAAACCUUUUCUCUUGUAGCUAUGUUUAAAUCCAUCAGGAUCUUGCUCGCCAUAGUUGCAUUUCAUGACUAUGAAAUCUGGCAGAUGGACAUCAAAACAGCUUUCCUUAACGGGAAACUUGAAGAGGAUGUGUACAUGACAUAACCUAAAGGUUUCGUCAAUCCAAAGGAUGCUAGAAAGAUAUGUAAGCUACAAAGAUCCAUUUAUGGAUUAAAGCAAGCUUCUCGAAGUUGGAAUCUUCGUUUUAACGAUGCAAUCAAAGAGUUUGGUUUUAUCAAAAAUGAAGAUGAGCCAUGUGUUUACAAGAAAGUUAGUGGGAACACUAUCACAUUCUUGGUACUGUAUGUGGAUGACAUUCUUAUCAUGGGAAAUGACAUACCUACCUUGCAGUCUAUUAAGACUUGGUUAGGAAGUUGUUUUUCUAUGAAGGACUUGGGCGAAGCCACUUACAUCUUAGGAGUCAAGAUCUAUAGAGAUAGAUCAAGGUGACUACUAGGUCUAAGCCAAAGUACAUACAUAGAUAAAGUACUGAAAAGGUUUAAUAUGGAAGAAUCUAAUAGAGGAUUCCUACCUAUGAGACAUGGUAUUUCACUCUAGAAGAAAAUGUGUCCUUCAACUCCACAAGAGAGAGAACGCAUGAGUAAAAUUCCAUAUGCUUUCGCUAUUGGAUCUAUCAUGUAUGCCAUGUUAUGUACCCGUCCAGAUGUCUCAUAUGCCUUAAGUAUGACAAACAGGUACCAAGUAGAUCCCGGUGAAGGUCAUUGGACCACAGUCAAGAAUAUUCUUAAUUACUUAAGAAGAACUAAGGAUACGUUCCUAAUAUAUAGAGGUGGGGAAGAGUUAAGUGUAAAAGGUUACACUGAUGCUAGCUUCCAAAUCGACAAGGAUGAUUCUCGAUCACAAUCAGGUUUUGUGUUUUGCCUUAAUGGUGGUGCUGUGAGCUGGAAGAGUUCAAAGCAAAGUACAGUAGCCGAUUCUACAACAGAGGCCGAAUAUAUUAUAGCCAGUGAGGCAGCAAAGGAAGCAAUUUGGAUCAAGAAGUUCAUUAUUGAACUAGGGGUUGUGCCUAGCAUAUCAGAUGCUAUAGAAAUCCGGUGUGAUAACAAUAGAGCCAUUGCACAAGCUAAAGAUCCCAGAUCUCACCAGCAAUCCAAACAUAUACUUAGGCUCUACCAUCUUAUUCGAGAGAUUAUCGAUCGAGGGGAUGUAGAGAUAUGCAGAGUACCUACAGAUGAUAACAUUAUUGAUCCCCUGACCAAGCCUCUGACACAGCAGAAGCAUGAUCAUCACACUAAGUCGCUUGGUAUUAGAUAUAUGAGUGAUUGGUCUUAGUGCUAGUGGGAGAUUGUAAGAGUAUGACCAAAGAUCAAUCAUGAGAUGGUUGUAAUAACAUACUUGAUUUACCAUGUUUAUUAAUAUAAAGCGUUGCCAUUAUUAUUUCAGUUUCUUUUCUGUGUGUAUAAAUAAACUGUUUUAUAAUAAUGUCCUGAGAAUAAUAUGAUUAUUCUUAAAAGAUCCUUAGUCAAGUAUUAUUGUUGACUAGAACAACAAUAAUACAUUAAUACUAACAUGUAGUUGAUUGAUGAUAAAGAGUUGUCAUUGAUAUGGAGUGUCAAAAUCAAUGAAUGAAUAUAUGUGUUAGAGAACAACAUAUUGGACUGACCCGCUAUGAGUAUGUUUCUUGGAUUAUUAUGUAAUUGUCACAACAUUACUCAUAGUGAUUAAUAUGUAUAUGAUUCUCAGACUUGAGAUCAUCAUUAUCCCAACAUCGUGAGUUGUAUAUUUUGAUACAGUCAAACGUACACCGUAACUGGUUGUUCUAUAAAGGAUGAUGUUGUAUAUACCACAACCUAUGUAGAGGGAUAUGGUUGAUCAAUAUAGGAUAAGUCCCUUCUACAUAAUGGGAGUAAUAUCUUAGGCCACUAGAUUGAGUGAGACUAGAAAUGCAUGGCCAUGCUCAAAUAAGUUGAUAUGAGAUGUCAUACUUAUUUAUAUAUCAUAGUCUACUCAAGAUAUCAAGGAAUAUGGGAUGGACUAUGCAAGUGUGACUAUUCCAUGACUUGUGUUCAUUCCAGAGAUAAAAGACUUAAGGUUUAAUGCAUGAAAGGUUAAUCACAAAAAGGUUAUGUCGAAUCAUGACUUCUUGUAACUUAGGUAGCAAUGAUGCAUUGCUAAAUGCCACUCAUUGUUUGUAAUAUUAGAAUCGUUCUAGUAUUACUGCUAACGUUACAAGAACCUACAGGGUCACACCCUAUGGUUGAAAUGAACGGAAUAAAACAUAAUUGGUAUUGUGUUUGGUUGUCACAUGAAUUAAUUUAAUUAUAGAAUUAAUUUAAUUGGGCAAUCAAAUAUUGAACAUAUUAUAUGUACAAGGAUGUUGUACACAUAAUGAGAACAUAGUUCUAUUAAUAUAUGAAUUUGGUUCGUAUAUAAAUUUAAAUAAAUAUAGUUUAUCGAAAUCUUUAUUAUAAUUAAUGUAAUUAUAAUUUUUGAUUAAAAAAAUUAUUAUAUUUAUUUAUUUUUAAUUAUGAUUAUUAUGUUCGGAUAAAAAUUUUAUGAAUUAUGAUUUAUUAUAUAUAUACCAAUUAUAAAGGGGUGAGAUAGAGAGAGUUUUAUAAAAAUCCUAAAAAAAAUUAUUUGUGAGGUAUAGUAGCCGUCAAGCAAAGAAUUCUCCAAAAACAGUUUUGGAGAUUUCUUCCGUUCAUUGUCAAACUAGGUGGAUUAAGUAGAGGUCAGAAUCAUAAAAGGUUACGGCUUGAUUCGAUAGUAGAUCAGAAUUCUCAUUGCCGAGGCGUUGCUGUCUACUCAGAUUGAAGUUUCGGUAAUUUUGAAACCAUUAUUUCACCCCAAUUCGUUCCUCGUACAUGGAUCCAUGGGUUGGUUCACCGAAAUUAUUUUUUUAUUAAUUUUUUGUGCCAUGGGGGUACCGGCAUUCCAACACAAUCUCCACCAUAUUUACCCAAAAUCUCCUUCCCAAC